AGAAAAGGUACAAAGAGCACCUGGAUGGAACAGAUCGCUGCUUCUCAUCUGUUAUAACCCCCGACCCAAACCAAAGCUCCAAUUCUGGUUCUCAUGAUCCAGGCACAGACAAGGACAAAACGUCCACAGAUUUGCCCCUGAGCACGGACAGCCCUGGCGUUUAUGUGGACAUCUGCCUUGUCGUCUCAGGUAGGUGAUGAGCUCCACAGGAACAGAGCAAAGGUUCACUCCUGCCUCCUACAUGGUGUUUCCUCUAAACCUGAGGCUCAGCACACUUGUCAUCACGUAAAACCCAAUUCAGAGUGGGGGGCACUGCCAGUGAAUAUUUCAUCACCGACUCAGAUGAGUUUGGGAAGUUGAAAUUUGCAGGAGUGAAGGGUUAAAACAAGUGGGCACAGAAGCCUUGACGAAGCUGCCUGUGAAGCCCUCCCGUUGUUCUAAGAGGGUGGAUAAGAGCCCAAGGGGAUCCUUAGUGUUACCUUUGAAGUUCCAGCCAUGGAGGCAAGUAGGGAUUGGGCUCAAGUCUUCCUCCUGUCACUAAUUUGCCUUCAUUUUGGAGGCCCUAGUUUCUCCAUGUGUAUGCUGUGGUAUUGGAUCAGCAACUAGAUAAGAAGAUCUCUCCCAUUCCUGAGCGUCUAUGAUGAUUCUGAGGCACAGGGUCACAUCUGACAGUACCAGGAAACCCAGGAAACAAGAAGCAAAGGUGACACAGAUGUGUCUGCCUGGACAGAUGAUCUAUUUGGAUGAUAAUAGACCCAGGCAUGGACAUGCCCUCCAAGAAAGAUGCUCGAACAGCUGCUCACACUGAAGCUGAAUCAAACAUUCCAAUCCCUAGAGGUGCCAGAUCAGAUCCUGAAGGCUCCCUGAGCCACCGACAUAAUGGCCAUGCCAUGCCAUGCCAAUGAUAAAACACAAACUGUGACUUUGUUUUGGACAGAAAUAAAGAGCCUGGUUUGUUAGUGAUUUACUGAUCACUGAAUCGAGUAUUAAUACUUGGCGACUUUAAAAGCCAUCAUGUUAAAAAGACCACCUGAUUCUCAGUGUCCCUGCAGUGACUGCGUUUGGGCAGCUUAUCCCCCGUACCUGUUUGGGGCUGUGCCAGCCACUUCCAGUGUGACCAUCUCAUUAACUUGCGGUCGCAGACUUGGCUGGACCCCUUUAACCAAAUUCCUUUCUGACAUUAUCAGAUCCCAAAUCAAAGAGCUCACUAGGCCCCUCAGCCUACGUGACCCACCUGGCCAGUGAAA